rnacentral:rRNA from 1 species
UGGGGAAUAUUGGACAAUGGGCGAAAGCCUGAUCCAGCAAUGCCGCGUGAGUGAUGAAGGCCUUAGGGUUGUAAAGCUCUUUUACCAGGGAUGAUAAUGACAGUACCUGGAGAAUAAGCUCCGGCUAACUCCGUGCCAGCAGCCGCGGUAAUACGGAGGGAGCUAGCGUUGUUCGGAAUUACUGGGCGUAAAGCGUACGUAGGCGGUGACUCAAGUCAGAGGUGAAAGCCUGGAGCUCAACUCCAGAACUGCCUUUGAAACUAGGUCGCUAGAAUCACGGAGAGGUGAGUGGAAUUCCGAGUGUAGAGGUGAAAUUCGUAGAUAUUCGGAAGAACACCAGUGGCGAAGGCGGCUCACUGGACGUGUAUUGACGCUGAGGUACGAAAGCGUGGGGAGCAAACAGGAUUAGAUACCCCAGUAGUCCCUGAGCGGGCUGGCAAGGCGCAU